rnacentral:rRNA from 1 species
AUUGAACGCUGGCGGCAGGCCUAACACAUGCAAGUCGAGCGGUAACACAGAGGAGCUUGCUCCUUGGGUGACGAGCGGCGGACGGGUGAGUAAUGCCUGGGGAUCUGCCCGAUAGAGGGGGGUAACUACGGGAAACUGUAGCUAAUACCGCAUAACGUCUACGGACCAAAGUGGGGGCUCUUCGGACCUCAUGCUAUCGGAUGAACCCAGGUGGGAUUAGCUAGUUGGUGAGGUAAUGGCUCACCAAGGCGACGAUCUCUAACUGGUUUGAGGGAAUGACCAGUCACACUGGAACUGAGACACGGUCCAGACGCCUACGGGAGGCAGCAGUGGGGAAUAUUGCACAAUGGGCGCAAGCCUGAUGCAGCCAUGCCGCGUGUGUGAAGAAGGCCUUCGGGUUGUAAAGCACUUUCAGCGGGGAGGAAGGGCUACUAGUUAAUACCUAGUGGCAUUGACGUUACUCGCAGAAGAAGCACCGGCUAACUCCGUGCCAGCCGCCGCGGUAA